rnacentral:rRNA from 1 species
UACGGAGGGAGCUAGCGUUGUUCGGAAUUACUGGGCGUAAAGCGCGUGUAGGCUGCUCGGAAAGUCGGAUGUGAAAGCCCUGGGCUCAACCCAGGAAGUGCACUCGAAGCUCCCGAGCUGGAGUCCCGGAGAGGAAGGCGGAACUCUCGGUGUAGAGGUGAAAUUCGUAGAUAUCGAGAGGAACAUCGGUGGCGAAGGCGGCCUUCUGGACGGUGACUGACGCUGAGGAGCGAAAGCGUGGGGAGCAAACAGG